UCAUUGUACUUCUGCGAUUGCCCAGAAAA
rnacentral:piRNA from 1 species